CAAGCUGUAGCUAAUUAGCGCACCUGGUUUGGGACCAGGGGGUCGCAGGUUCGAAUCCUGUCUUCCCGA
rnacentral:tRNA from 1 species